rnacentral:rRNA from 1 species
GACGAACGCUGGCGGCGUGCUUAACACAUGCAAGUCGAACGGAAAGGCCCUGCUUUUGUGGGGUGCUCGAGUGGCGAACGGGUGAGUAACACGUGAGUAACCUGCCCUUGACUUUGGGAUAACUUCAGGAAACUGGGGCUAAUACCGGAUCGGAGCUCCUGCUGCAUGGUGGGGGUUGGAAAGUUUCGGCGGUUGGGGAUGGACUCGCGGCUUAUCAGCUUGUUGGUGGGGUAGUGGCUUACCAAGGCUUUGACGGGUAGCCGGCCUGAGAGGGUGACCGGCCACAUUGGGACUGAGAUACGGCCCAGACUCCUACGGGAGGCAGCAGUGGGGAAUAUGCACAAUGGGCGGAAGCCUGAUGCAGCAACGCCGCGUGCGGGAUGACGGCCUUCGGGUUGUAAACCGCUUUCGCCUGUGACGAAGCGUGAGUGACGGUAAUGGGUAAAGAAGCACCGGCUAACUACGUG